rnacentral:rRNA from 1 species
GAUGAACGCUGGCGGCGUGCCUAAUACAUGCAAGUCGAGCGAACAGACGAGGAGCUUGCUCCUCUGACGUUAGCGGCGGACGGGUGAGUAACACGUGGAUAACCUACCUAUAAGACUGGGAUAACUUCGGGAAACCGGAGCUAAUACCGGAUAAUAUAUUGAACCGCAUGGUUCAAUAGUGAAAGACGGUUUUGCUGUCACUUAUAGAUGGAUCCGCGCCGCAUUAGCUAGUUGGUAAGGUAACGGCUUACCAAGGCAACGAUGCGUAGCCGACCUGAGAGGGUGAUCGGCCACACUGGAACUGAGACACGGUCCAGACUCCUACGGGAGGCAGCAGUAGGGAAUCUUCCGCAAUGGGCGAAAGCCUGACGGAGCAACGCCGCGUGAGUGAUGAAGGUCUUCGGAUCGUAAAACUCUGUUAUUGGGGAAGAACAAAUGUGUAAGUAACUAUGCACGUCUUGACGGUACCUAAUCAGAAGGCCACGGCUAACUACGUG